GAUGGAUUUAUUAGCGGCUCAAACCAAUUAUCAUUAUUUAUGUUGUAGUUUUGUCGACUGCAUAUGAUCACGUGUCCAUCUGCCUGAGACUCUUAGCCAUUAAGCAAAAUGCAGGAGAAGCCACCACAUACUAAUACGUGUCCUUACCUCAUACUACAACCGAGAUAAAGCGAAUGGUACUUAUUGAUGUAGCAUGAUCAAAGAAUCAAGUAGUGAUAACUUCCAGUAUCUGAAACUCCAACAACAUGAAUACACAAGGAACUGAAAGGGUAAACGAAGAAGCAAUAGAAACAAAGGUGGAAACAGAAGAUUACCGAUCACCAGCAGGGCAUGACGAACCCACAAAGGAGAAAGUUGGGGUGGUUCAUCUUACUCGCAAGAACAGGGAAUCUGGCACCGAAGAUGGACUAUUGGGUAGAACGACUGCUGCUGUGACAAAUACAAUAAAGUCUGCUAAGGAUGCCAUCUUGGGCAGGGGCAAGAAAAACGCCUCCAACUGACUCCCGGAGUGGCCGAUGAUAUGAGUAUGUUCUUUAUAUGCAUGUGAAAUAUUGAUGGCAAUAAUAAUAAUAAUAAUAAAAAAGAAGACGUUGUGUUCCUGUUUAAUGUUUCUGCUUUGAUUAUUUCAGUAUAGAGUUACAUAAUGUCCAUUUGUAUUUCCCACUUAUUAAGAUCGAUCAAUUGAAAUAUCUUCUUAUGGUCUUGGAA